rnacentral:misc_RNA from 1 species
CGCACCUUGCACCCUUUGGUAUUCCGAAGGGUAUGCCUGUUUGAGUGUCAUGAAUACUCCAACCAUCAGGUUUCUUGAUGGAGUGGGAUCUGGGCGUUGCCGUCGGCUCGCCUUAAAUGAAUGCUUGUGAGAUGUACUAAGUCUCGUCUCGAACAGGCUCCGCCUAAUAGGCAAUAACUUUCAUUUUGACCUCAAAUCAGGUAGGACUACCCGCUGAACUUAA